UGGAGCGUGUGGUUUAAUUCGAUGCUACACGAAGAACCUUACCAGGGUUUGACAUACAAGUAGUAGGGAACUGAAAAGGGACCGACCCUUCGGGGAGCUUGAACAGGUGCUGCAUGGCUGUCGUCAGCUCGUGUCGUGAGAUGUUCGGUUAAGUCCGCUAACGAGCGCAACCCUCGCUGUGUGUUACAAGUGUCACACGGAACUGCCGGUCAUAAACCGGAGGAAGGUGGGGAUGACGUCAAGUCAGCAUGGCCUUUAUAUCUUGGGCA
rnacentral:rRNA from 1 species